rnacentral:rRNA from 1 species
CAUGGCUGUCGUCAGAUGGGGGAGCUUCUUGGGUUAAGUCCCGCAACGAGCGCAACCCUCUGUUUAAAGAGGGCUACGAAAGGGCACUCUAGAGAGACUGCCGGUGACAAACCGGAGGAAGGUGGGGAUGACGUCAAGUCCUCCUGGCCCUUAUGGGUAGGGCUUCACACGUCAUACAAUGGUGCAUACAGAGGGUUGCCAAGCCGCGAGGUGGAGCUAAUCCCAGAAAAUGCAUCGUAGUCCGGAUCGUAGUCUGCAACUCGACUACGUGAAGCUGGAAUCGCUAGUAAUCGCGGAUCAGCAUGCCGCGGUGAAUACGUUCCCGGGUCUUGUACACACCG